rnacentral:tRNA from 1 species
GGAGGAUUACCCAAGCCUGGCUGAAGGGAACGGUUUUGAAAACCGUCAGGCGUGUAAAAGCGUGCGUGGGUACGAAUCCCACAUCCUCCU